AGCGGCGUACGGGUGCGGAACACGUGUGCACUGCCUUUAUCUGGGGGAUAGCCUUUCGAAAGGAAGAUUAAUACCCCAUAAUAUGUUGAAUGGCAUCAUUCGACAUUGAAAACUCCGGUGGAUAGAGAUGGGCACGCGCAAGAUUAGAUAGUUGGUGAGGUAACGGCUCACCAAGUCUACGAUCUUUAGGGGGCCUGAGAGGGUGAUCCCCCACACUGGUACUGAGACACGGACCAGACUCCUACGGGAGGCAGCAGUGAGGAAUAUUGGACAAUGGGUGAGAGCCUGAUCCAGCCAUCCCGCGUGAAGGACGACUGCCCUAUGGGUUGUAAACUUCUUUUGUAUAGGGAUAAACCUACCCUCGUGAGGGUAGCUGAAGGUACUAUACGAAUAAGCACCGGCUAACUCCGUGCCAGCAGCCGCGGUAAUACGGAGGGUGCAAGCGUUAUCCGGAUUAUGGGGUUAAAGGGUCCGUAGGCGGAUCUGUAAAGUCAAGUGGUGGAAAAAUUUCUUUCAACAAGGGUUUUUAAACUUUGGGUUGGAAAACUUUGGGGCCCAAUUUUGGGAUUUAACUUUGGGGCCAGGGGGUUCCUUUGGGGA
rnacentral:rRNA from 1 species